GGCUUUCUCAGGCUGCAGUACAAACAUGCUGUACAUUCAGAGGACAGUGAUGGUCCCAACAAGAAAUCAUAUAGACUUGAGAGAGAACAAAUGGGAUUCUGAGCAGAUAAAGAAACAACAACAGAUUACCCACUGUAAUGAAAAAACUGCACGUUCCGUAAUCCAACUUUAGUUAUCCAUCAAGGCUUCAACCAAGAAAAUGAAAGUGCAAAGAAUUUCAAAACCAAGCCAUCACAUCAGGAAUCAAACAUGCUGACCAUGUACAGUAUAUAGAACUGUUUUUUUCUCAUUUGCUUCAUAUCUUAUUAUACCCAUAUUUUCUUUAAAGUGAAAGUGUGAUAUACAAUUUUAAAGACUGUUUCAAG
rnacentral:lncRNA from 1 species